rnacentral:lncRNA from 1 species
CGGGCUGGGAGAGACUCUGUACUCGGUCCCUGCCCUGUGGGUACGUGGUCAUGCAGCGGUGCAGGCAGCUGGUCUUCCACAGCUUGGGACAACACUGCUGUUCAACUGCUGAUGACAGAGCAGAGACCUGCAGUGCAUGACUUCUUAGGAAGCCUGUUCCCAUUUGGGAGCAAGAGGCUCCUGCUGCCCCUGGAUGAGGUGCAAAGAUGCUAUCAUGAGAUGUAUUUAAGGAUGCCAGGAGGAACUCUGGCUGAUCCAGUGUCUCCUUCAGAUGGGUUGUGAAGAUUAAAUGAAGUAAUGUGUUACUAUCUAAGAAGGAUCUGAUACAGUUUCAGGAACAAUAAAAAGAGUUUGAAAAAUGGUUGCUAUUAUGAU